AGAGUUUGAUCCUGGCUCAGGACGAACUUUGGCGGCGUGCCUAAUACAUGCAAGUCGAGCGAGCUUGCCUAGAUGAUUUUAGUGCUUGCACUAAAUGAAACUAGAUACAAGCGAGCGGCGGACGGGUGAGUAACACGUGGGUAACCUGCCCAAGAGACUGGGAUAACACCUGGAAACAGAUGCUAAUACCGGAUAACAACACUAGACGCAUGUCUAGAGUUUGAAAGAUGGUUCUGCUAUCACUCUUGGAUGGACCUGCGGUGCAUUAGCUAGUUGGUAAGGUAACGGCUUACCAAGGCGAUGAUGCAUAGCCGAGUUGAGAGACUGAUCGGCCACAAUGGAACUGAGACACGGUCCAUACUCCUACGGGAGGCAGCAGUAGGGAAUCUUCCACAAUGGGCGCAAGCCUGAUGGAGCAACACCGCGUGAGUGAAGAAGGGUUUCGGCUCGUAAAGCUCUGUUGUUGGAGAAGAACGUGCGUGAGAGUAACUGUUCACGCAGUGACGGUAUCCAACCAGAAAGUCACGGCUAACUACGUGCCAGCAGCCGCGGUAAUACGUAGGUGGCAAGCGUUAUCCGGAUUUAUUGGGCGUAAAGCGAGCGCAGGCGGUUGCUUAGGUCUGAUGUGAAAGCCUUCGGCUUAACCGAAGAAGUGCAUCGGAAACCGGGCGACUUGAGUGCAGAAGAGGACAGUGGAACUCCAUGUGUAGCGGUGGAAUGCGUAGAUAUAUGGAAGAACACCAGUGGCGAAGGCGGCUGUCUGGUCUGCAACUGACGCUGAGGCUCGAAAGCAUGGGUAGCGAACAGGAUUAGAUACCCUGGGUAGUCCAUGCCGUAAACGAUGAGUGCUAGGUGUUGGAGGGUUUCCGCCCUUCAGUGCCGGAGCUAACGCAUUAAGCACUCCGCCUGGGGAGUACGACCGCAAGGUUGAAACUCAAAGGAAUUGACGGGGGCCCGCACAAGCGGAGGAACAUGUGGUUUAAUUCGAUGAUACGCGAGGAACCUUACCCGGGCUCAAACGACGGAUGGAUGUUUCCGAAAGGAGGCAGUCCUACGGGACAUCCGUCGAGGUGCUGCAUGGUUGUCGUCAGCUCGUGCCGUGAGAUGUUGGGUUAAGUCCCGCAACGAGCGCAACCCUUAUCUUCAGUAGCCAGCAGGUAAAGCCGGGCACUCUGGAGAGACUGCCGGGGAUAACCCGGAGGAAGGUGGGGAUGACGUCAAAUCAUCAUGCCCCUUAUGAUUUGGGCUACACACGUGCUACAAUGGCGUAAACAGAGGGAAGCGAGCCCGCGAGGGGGAGCAAAUCCCAAAAAUAACGUCCCAGUUCGGAUUGUAGUCUGCAACCCGACUACAUGAAGCUGGAAUCGCUAGUAAUCGCGGAUCAGCACGCCGCGGUGAAUACGUUCCCGGGCCUUGCACACACCGCCCGUCA
rnacentral:rRNA from 1 species